AAUAAGGUAAGCUAAAUUAAGCUAUUGGGUUCAUGCCCCGAUUAUGAAGAAAUUUAAUUCUUCCUUUAUUA
rnacentral:tRNA from 1 species